rnacentral:misc_RNA from 1 species
GACUGAGGCUUAAUGAGUUGAAUUGAGUAAUUAUAGUUGAAUUUGUUUCCUACAAGGGGCCUUUGAUUUGCAUAAUUUGGCAUGUAUAAAUGUUGAAGAAAAUACACUAGCUUUUUCUUCUUACUUUUUAUUUUCCUUUUUUUAUUUCCACUAAGAAGAUACGAAUUUGCCAAAAUUUCUGUAUCCAGGUUCCCAUGGUUCCUUUACCA